AACGCACAUUGCGCCCCGUGGUAUUCCGCGGGGCAUGCCUGUUCGAGCGUCAUUUCAACCCUCAAGCUCCGCUUGGUGUUGGGCCGGGCCCGUCGCGGCCGGUCCCAAAGACAGUGGCGGCGCCGCCCGGCUCUCAGCGUAGUACCUCUCUCGCUGCGGCGCCCGGCGGUGGCCUGCCAGAACCCCCCAACUCUGUGGUUGACCUCGGAUCAGGUAGGGAUACCCGCUGAACUUAA
rnacentral:misc_RNA from 1 species